GACGAACGCUGGCGGCGUGCUUAACACAUGCAAGUCGAACGGAACGGUUCUGCUUUUGUGGGGUGCUCGAGUGGCGAAUGGGUGAGUAACACGUGCGUAACCUUCCCUCGGGUUUGGGCUAACUUCAGGAAACUGGGGAUAAUACCGGAUAGGAGCUCCUGCUGCAUGGUGGGGGUGGGAAAGUUUAGGCGGUGUGGGAUGAACUCGCGGCGUAUCAGCUUGUUGGGGGGGUAGGGGCUUAGCAAGGCUUUGACGGGUACCCUGGCUGAGAGGGUAACCGGACACGUUGGAUUGGAAAUACGGCCCAGACUACUCCGGGAGGCAGCGGUGGAGAAGGGUACACUGUGCGCGGAGCCAUGAUCCAGCGAAGCGGCGUGGGGUAUGAGAGCCAUCAUUUUGGAAUCCGCAUUCGCCUGUGAAGAAGCGUUAGUGACGGUAAUUGAUAAAGAAGCACCGGCUAACUACGUG
rnacentral:rRNA from 1 species